UACGUAGGUGGCAAGCGUUGUCCGGAAUCACUGGGCGUAAAGGGCGCGUAGGCGGUGCGGUAAGUCACUUGUGAAAUCUCUGAGCUUAACUCAGAACGGCCAAGUGAUACUGCAGUACUAGAGUGCAGAAGGGGCAAUCAGAAUUCUUGGUGUAGCGGUGAAAUGCGUAGAUAUCAAGAGGAAUACCUGAGGUGAAGACGGGUUGCUAGGCUGACACUGACGCUGAUGCGCGAAAGCUAGGGGAGCAAACGGG
rnacentral:rRNA from 1 species